AUGACUUUCAUCAUCAUCUUCAUCUGGACACUGACUUUCUACAUUCAGGAGAGUUGUGGACAAGUGACAGUGACUCAAACACCACAGAUGACAUCCAUUACACAAGGAGGAACCGUUGAAAUCAGCUGUAAAACAAGUCAGCCAAUUUCUGGCUGUAGUGACUGUGUUUCAUGGUAUCAUCAGAAACCUGGAGAAGCUCCUAAACUCCUCAUUUAUUACAUCAGGAGACUUCAGUCAGGAACUCCAUCAAGAUUCAGUGGCAGUGGAUCAAACUAUGGAAGUGAUUUCACUUUGACCAUCAGUGGAGUUCAGACUGAAGAUUCAGGAGAUUAUUACUGUCAGAGUUAUCACAGUGGUCCAGUGUACACACAGUGA